GACGAACGCUGGCGGCGUGCUUAACACAUGCAAGUCGAACGAUGAAGCAAAGAAUUGAAGCUUCGGCAGAAAUUCAUUUCGGAUUAGUGGCAGACGGGUGAGUAACGCGUGAGCAACCUACCUCUUACAAAGGGAUAGCCUCGGGAAACCGGGAUUAAUACCAUAUAACAUUGCGACGAAGCAUUUCGAUGCAAUCAAAGCUACGGCGGUAAGAGAUGGGCUCGCGUCCCAUUAACCAGAUGGUGAGGUAACGGCUCACCAUAGUAACGAUGGGUAACCGGACUGAGAGGGUGAACGGUCACACUGGAACUGAGACACGGUCCAGACUCCUACGGGAGGCAGCAGUGGGGAAUAUUGCACAAUGGAGGGAACUCUGAUGCAGCGACGCCGCGUGAGUGAUGAAGGAAUUCGUUUCGUAAAACUCUGUUCUAUGGGAAGAAAAGGACUGUACCAUAGGAGAAAGCGCCGGCUAAAUACGUG
rnacentral:rRNA from 1 species